UGCCUGUGCAGAUCUAGAUCUAUAGCUGUGAGAGUACCAUAUCCAUAUCUGAGAAGAAGGAACGGCCACGAUUCAUCUAAAGGUUUAAAUGGCCUGCACAGAGGAGGCUCGAGAUAAGUCUUCAGAAAUACCCAGCUGACCUUGGAAUGAGCCUUGCUUGGAUUUGCUUACAGGACCCACAUGACGUUGGUUUACAGUGCAUGAUGAAGCAGUUUUCUUUUCUCCUCUUCACAACUGAAGUUAUUUUAAUCCACUGCUGCAAGAGAUCUGCACUUGAUGACAGGCCAACCGUUCAUGCUGCUAAAC
rnacentral:lncRNA from 1 species